UCGCGAGGGCAGAGUGAUAAAUGUAUCGAAGACCAUAGCCAAGGGGCGAUUGUGCGGGAUCGUUCUGGGCGAGGAAGAGGCGACGACGUUCGCGGCGUUCCUGAAUAAUCGUGCGUAGGCGAAGCGAGUGUGUCGUGUGUGUUGUGGGUAGGCACUUUUUUUGGGUUUUGUUUGGCUCUUUGGGGCCGGGUGUCUUCUUUUUGUGAUGCUUUGUAUUUUUGUUGGAACGUUAGAGGGUUGAAUGACCCGUCUAAGCGUAACGCCGUUAGGGCCGUAGUGUCGGGUCUUCGUAAUGUAGUGGUUUGCUUACAAGAGUCGAAAGUU
rnacentral:lncRNA from 1 species